AAAGACUUAGUCCUAACCUUACCGUUAGUUCUUGCUAGAUACAUACAUGCAAGUAUCCGCACUCCAGUGUAAAUGCCCUUAAUAUCUUACACAGACAACAGGAGCAGGUAUCAGGCACGCCACCGCAGCCCAAAACACCUUGCCCAGCCACACCCCCACGGGACUUCAGCAGUAGUUAACAUUAAGCAAUAAGUGUAAACUUGACUUAGCCAUAGCAACCAUUAGGGUUGGUAAAUCUUGUGCCAGCCACCGCGGUCAUACAAGAAACCCAAAUUAACUCUAAACGGCGUAAAGAGUGGUCCUUUAAUAUCACCCUGACUAAGAUUGAAAUGUCGCUAAGCCGUUAUAAGCUCAAGACACACCUAACACCCCCUCCAAAAACGAUCUUAGCCAUCCGAUCCACUAAACUCCACGAAAGCCAGGAUACAAACUGGGAUUAGAUACCCCACUAUGCCUAGCCUUAAAUCUAGAUGCUUCCCCUACCCAAGCAUCCGCCCGAGAACUACGAGCACAAACGCUUAAAACUCUAAGGACUUGGCGGUGCUCCAAACCCACCUAGAGGAGCCUGUUCUAUAAUCGAUAACCCACGAUACACCCAACCAUCUCUUGCUAGAACAGCCUAUAUACCGCCGUCCCCAGCUCACCCUUAAACUGAAGGACUAGAAGUGAGCACAAUAGCCCCACCCGCUAGCAAGACAGGUCGAGGUAUAGCUAAUGAGAUGGAAGAAAUGGGCUACAUUUUCUACCAUAGAAAAUCUCACGGCAAGGGGAAUGAAACCUCCCCUAAAAGGCGGAUUUAGCAGUAAAGUAGGAUUAUAAAGCCUACUUAAAGCUGGCUCUGGAGCACGUACAUACCGCCCGUCACCCUCCUCACAAGCCUUAAACAACUUAAUAACUAAUAUGCAACUAGGCUAAAGAUGAGGUAAGUCGUAACAAGGUAAGUGUACCGGAAGGUGCACUUAGUCUAC
rnacentral:ncRNA from 1 species